UAAUAUAAUAAGACAUUAUGUAUGGUUUUGUACAAUGCUAAUCUUUUUUUCUUUUUUCCUCAGGUAAUCUUGCUUUUGCUGUUCUAAAAUAAACACUGCUCUUAGCACACCACCCAUACAUGGCACACAAAACAGGUCUUGUGAGGGGGCUGUGCCCACAGGUAGAAAUUCUGUGGGUCCACGGGCUUCUCCCCUUUCAGCGAACAUCACAGCGCUUAGUCCACCAUCGUGGUCUCCAAUCUCCAUUACCAACAGCCUGAGUGCUACACCUACAGACACCCCAACCCAUGCAGCAGCUGGCAGAAGUCAGACAUCAGGCCAAACUGGAUUUCAACACACCCCACCCUUACAUGGCACACAAGUAUAUGACACACAACACAGGUCUUCUCAGGAGGCUGUGCCUACAGCAAUAGGCUUUACGCCCAGCUGCACUACUUCCUGAACUUCAGCCAGCUCCUUGUUUCCUGUCUGCCAUUAUUGGACAAACUGAUUAAUCCAGGUGUGCCUGAGCUUAGUAGUCACAACAACAAUAAUCAGACACACCUGGAUUUAUCAGUUUGUCCAGUAAUGGCAGACAGGAAACAAGGAGCUUAAAGCCUAUUGCUAAGGAGAUCCUCAUCCAGCUCGAUUUUAUUAGAGAGCAGCAGUUGCAGACUUCACCCCAGACCCAACACAUUUUGGGCUCCCACUUUCAACUAUUGAGGAGCUACAAUGUUUGUAGGAGACAUUAAAUAAUCCAGAUGAGAAGAAGAAUUUGGUGAGGUAAAUUAUGGUUUAAUCAGAUCAUUCCUAAAAGUCAGUCCUCAUU